rfam:Vibrio sp. qd031 contig_164, whole genome shotgun sequence.
UAAACAGCCGCCUAAUUACCACCAUGAUUAUUACCGACACAGAGGAUGUUGGGGCAGGCUGCUAAGCGAAAUUUAUAAAAAGGCCUGUAUCCAACAAGAUACAGGCCUUUUUUUU